rnacentral:rRNA from 1 species
CCUACGGGAGGCAGCAGUGGGGAAUAUUGGGCAAUGGGCGCAAGCCUGACCCAGCAACGCCGCGUGAAGGAAGAAGGCUUUCGGGUUGUAAACUUCUUUUAAGAGGGAAGAGCAGAAGACGGUACCUCUUGAAUAAGCCACGGCUAACUACGUGCCAGCAGCCGCGGUAAUACGUAGGUGGCAAGCGUUGUCCGGAUUUACUGGGUGUAAAGGGCGUGUAGCCGGGCUGACAAGUCAGAUGUGAAAUUCCGGGGCUCAACCCCGGAACUGCAUGUGAAACUGUUGGUCUUGAGUAGCGGAGAGGCAGGCGGAAUUCCCGGUGUAGCAGUGAAAUGCGUAGAUAUUAGGAGGAACACCAGUGGCGAAGGCGGCCUGCUGGACGACAACUGACGGUGAGGCGCGAAAGCGUGGGGAGCAAACAGGAUUAGAUACCCUAGUAGUC